rnacentral:rRNA from 1 species
GAUGAACGCUGACAGAAUGCUUAACACAUGCAAGUCAACUUGAACUUCGGUUUGGGUGGCGGACGGGUGAGUAACGCGUAAAGAACUUGCCUCACAGCUAGGGACAACAUUUGGAAACGAAUGCUAAUACCUGAUAUUAUGAUUAUAUGGCAUCGUAUAAUUAUGAAAGCUAUAUGCGCUGUGAGAGAGCUUUGCGUCCCAUUAGCUAGUUGGAGGGGUAACAGCUCACCAAGGCGAUGAUGGGUAGCCGGCCUGAGAGGGUGAUCGGCCACAAGGGGACUGAGACACGGCCCUUACUCCUACGGGGGGCAGCAGUGGGGAAUAUUGGACAAUGGACCGAGAGUCUGAUCCAGCAAUUCUGUGUGCACGAUGAAGUUUUUCGGAAUGUAAAGUGCUUUCAGUUGGGAAGAAAAAAAUGACGGUACCAACAGAAGAAGUGACGGCUAAAUACGUG